rfam:Human gut metagenome DNA, contig sequence: F2-X_024707.
CCUAACUGUAACCUUGAUAGAUGGAAUGANGGGGGUACGCCCCUGAACGUCCUCCCUGAUACUCCGAUGGNCGCUGNCAGACAGCACUUGCAGGGUCAAGAGCUCGGUGAAGUCGGCUGAAUACACUCGCUGUAUCGACCACAAUCAUAUGGUAUCGAUACGGCAAAGCAAGCAAAAGUGGCUUGUAAUGUUAAGGCGGGGGUCUCAAAA